ACAGCUUAGUGCUAGAGCAUCUGUUUUGCAAUCAGAAGUUCCAGGUUCAAUCACUGACAUCUCUG